rnacentral:rRNA from 1 species
GACGAACGCUGGCGGCGUGCUUAACACAUGCAAGUCGAACGGAAAGGCCCUGCUUUUGUGGGGUGCUCGAGUGGCGAACGGGUGAGUAACACGUGAGUAACCUGCCCUUGACUUUGGGAUAACUUCAGGAAACUGGGGCUAAUACCGGAUAGGAGCUCCUGCUGCACGGUGGGGGUUGGAAAGUUUCGGCGGUUGGGGAUGGACUCGCGGCUUAUCAGCUUGUUGGUGGGGUAGUGGCUUACCAAGGCUUUGACGGGUAGCCGGCCUGAGAGGGUGACCGGCCACAUUGGGACUGAGAUACGGCCCAGACUCCUACGGGAGGCAGCAGUGGGGAAUAUUGCACAAUGGGCGGAAGCCUGAUGCAGCAACGCCGCGUGCGGGAUGACGGCCUUCGGGUUGUAAACCGCUUUCGCCUGUGACGAAGCGUGAGUGACGGUAAUGGGUAAAGAAGCACCGGCUAACUACGUGCCAGCAGCCGCGGUGAUACGUAGGGUGCGAGCGUUGUCCGGAUUUAUUGGGCGUAAAGGGCUCGUAGGUGGUUGAUCGCGUCGGAAGUGUAAUCUUGGGGCUUAACCCUGAGCGUGCUUUCGAUACGGGUUGACUUGAGGAAGGUAGGGGAGAAUGGAAUUCCUGGUGGAGCGGUGGAAUGCGCAGAUAUCAGGAGGAACACCAGUGGCGAAGGCGGUUCUCUGGGCCUUUCCUGACGCUGAGGAGCGAAAGCGUGGGGAGCGAACAGGCUUAGAUACCCUGGUAGUCCACGCUGUAAACGGUGGGUACUAGGUGUGGGGUCCAUUCCACGGGUUCCGUGCCGUAGCUAACGCUUUAAGUACCCCGCCUGGGGAGUACGGCCGCAAGGCUAAAACUCAAAGGAAUUGACGGGGCCCCGCACAAGCGGCGGAGCAUGCGGAUUAAUUCGAUGCAACGCGUAGAACCUUACCUGGGUUUGACAUGGAUCGGGAGUGCUCAGAGAUGGGUGUGCCUCUUUUGGGGUCGGUUCACAGGUGGUGCAUGCCUGUCGUCAGCUCGUGUCGUGAGAUGUUGGGUUAAGUCCCGCAACGAGCGCAACCCUUGUUCACUGUUGCCAGCACGUUAUGGUGGGGACUCAGUGGAGACCGCCGGGGUCAACUCGGAGGAAGGUGGGGAUGACGUCAAGUCAUCAUGCCCCUUAUGUCCAGGGCUUCACGCAUGCUACAAUGGCUGGUACAGAGAGUGGCGAGCCUGUGAGGGUGAGCGAAUCUCGGAAAGCCGGUCUCAGUUCGGAUUGGGGUCUGCAACUCGACCUCAUGAAGUCGGAGUCGCUAGCAAUCGCAGAUCAGCAACGCUGCGGUGAAUACGUUCCCGGGGCU